CAGCCAUGCCGCGUGAAGGAUGACAGCCCUAUGGGUUGUAAACUUCUUUUGUACGGGAAGAAACGCCUCUACGUGUAGAGGUUUGACGGUACCGUACGAAUAAGCAUCGGCUAACUCCGUGCCAGCAGCCGCGGUAAUACGGAGGAUGCAAGCGUUAUCCGGAUUUAUUGGGUUUAAAGGGUACGUAGGCGGGAGCUUAAGUCAGUGGUGAAAUCCUGCAGCUUAACUGUAGAACUGUCAUUGAUACUGGGCUUCUUGAAUGUAGUUGAGGUAGGCGGAAUGUGUAAUGUAGCGGUGAAAUGCUUAGAUAUUACACAGAACACCGAUUGCGAAGGCAGCUUACUAAACUACGAUUGACGCUGAGGUACGAAAGCGUGGGGAGCGAACAGGAUUAGAUACCCUGGUAGUCCACGCUGUAAACGAUGAUCACUCGUUGUUGGCAAUACACCGUCAGCGACUGAGCGAAAGCAUUAAGUGAUCCACCUGGGGAGUACGACCGCAAGGUUGAAACUCAAAGGAAUUGACGGGGGCCCGCACAAGCGGAGGAACAUGUGGUUUAAUUCGAUGAUACGCGAGGAUCCUUACCUGGGCUUAAAUGUAGAACGACGGACCGGGAAACUGGUCUUUCUUCGGACGGUCUGCAAGGUGCUGCAUGGCUGUCGUCAGCUCGUGCCGUGAGGUGUCGGGUUAAGUCCCAUAACGAGCGCAACCCUCAUCAUUAGUUGCCAGCGGGUAAUGCCGGGGACUCUAAUGAAACUGCCGGUGUAAACCGAGAGGAAGGUGGGGAUGACGUCAAGUCAGCACGGCCCUUAUGUCCAGGGCUACACACGUGUUACAAUGGUCGGUACAAAGGGCAGCUACCUGGCGACAGGAUGCUAAUCUCGAAAACCGAUCUCAGUUCGGAUCGAAGUCUGCAACUCG
rnacentral:rRNA from 1 species